rnacentral:rRNA from 1 species
UACGUAGGGGCAAGCGUUGUCCGGAUUUAUUGGGCGUAAAGCGCUCGCAGGCGGUCCGAUGCGUCGUGCGUGAAAGACCCCGGCUCAACUGGGGAGGGUCGUGCGAUACGGUCGGACUCGAGGCCAGUAGGGGGACGCGGAAUUCCAGGUGUAGCGGUGAAAUGCGUAGAUAUCUGGAGGAAUACCGGUGGCGAAGGCGGCAUCCUGGACCGGCAGUUGACGCUGACGGAGCGAAAGCCAGGGGAGCA